rnacentral:rRNA from 1 species
AUUGAACGCUGGCGGCAGGCUUAACACAUGCAAGUCGAGCGGGGUGAUGGUGCUUGCACUAUCACUUAGCGGCGGACGGGUGAGUAAUGCUUAGGAAUCUGCCUAUUAGUGGGGGACAACAUCUCGAAAGGGAUGCUAAUACCGCAUACGUCCUACGGGAGAAAGCAGGGGAUCACUUGUGACCUUGCGCUAGUAGAUGAGCCUAAGUCGGAUUAGCUAGUUGGUGGGGUAAAGGCCUACCAAGGCGACGAUCUGUAGCGGGUCUGAGAGGAUGAUCCGCCACACUGGGACCGAGACACGGCCCAGACUCCUACGGGAGGCAGCAGUGGGGAAUAUUGGACAAUGGGGGGAACCCUGAUCUAGCCAUGCCGCGUGUGUGAAGAAGGCCUUAUGGUUGUAAAGCACUUUAAGCGAGGAGGAGGCUCUUUUGGUUAAUACCCAAGAUGAGUGGACGUUACUCGCAGAAUAAGCACCGGCUAAUUCUGUGCCAGCAGCCGCCGUAA